CAGCCGCCGCGGUAAAACCAGCACCUCAAGUGGUCAGGAUGAUUAUUGGGCCUAAAGCAUCCGUAGCCGGCUCUGUAAGUUUUCGGUUAAAUCUGUACGCUCAACGUACAGGCUGCCGGGAAUACUGCAGAGCUAGGGAGUGGGAGAGGUAGACGGUACUCGGUAGGAAGGGGUAAAAUCCUUUGAUCUAUUGAUGACCACCUGUGGCGAAGGCGGUCCACCAGAACACGUCCGACGGUGAGGGAUGAAAGCUGGGGGAGCAAACCGGAUUAGAUACCCGGGUAGUCCCAGCUGUAAACUAUGCAAACUCAGUGAUGCAUUGGCUUGUGGCCAAUGCAGUGCUGCAGGGAAGCCGUUAAGUUUGCCGCCUGGGAAGUACGUACGCAAGUAUGAAACUUAAAGGAAUUGGCGGGGGAGCAC
rnacentral:rRNA from 2 species